rnacentral:rRNA from 1 species
GACGAACGCUGGCGGCGUGCCUAAUACAUGCAAGUCGAACGGUCUUUUCUAUGGAAGCUUGCUUCCGCUGAGAAGAUAGUGGCGGACGGGUGAGUAACGCGUGAACAAUCUGCCCUGUACAAGGAUAGCCUCGGGAAACCGGNUUAAAACCAUAUAACACUUUAGUACCGCAUGGUACAGAAGUCAAAUUGAUUAGAGGUAUGGGAUGAGUUCGACGUCUGAUUAGCUAGUUGUAGUACGGCUUACCAAGCGACGAUCAGUAGCCGGCCUGAGA